rnacentral:rRNA from 1 species
CGGGUGAGUAACACGUAUCCAACCUGCCGUCUACUCUUGGACAGCCUUCUGAAAGGAAGAUUAAUACAAGAUGGCAUCAUGAGUUCACAUGUCCGCAUGAUUAAAGGUAUUUUCCGGUAGACGAUGGGGAUGCGUUCCAUUAGAUAGUAGGCGGGGUAACGGCCCACCUAGUCUUCGAUGGAUAGGGGUUCUGAGAGGAAGGUCCCCCACAUUGGAACUGAGACACGGUCCAA